UAUUAAACUGACUCCCCCAAAUCAGGGAACAGCGAAAAAAACUGUAAACUUAGAGAUAACUUGUUUUAAGGCCUAGUGUUUUGGGGUCUCGGCUUCACUGACCAGGUUGAUUUUCUCACCGUCUUUCUGUGUUUUCACUUCCUUAUUCCCAGAGGAACAAGGAAGGAGUGCUCUUAAUGAUUUCUUUCCUUUCCUCAAAGAGGAGCAGAUGUUUGAACUUUGUGGCUUUUCAAAGUUUAAAGUUUUUUCACUGAUUUCACUGUCAUUAGGCAACUAUAACUCUUGGUGUUGUGAGUCAUCUCCAGAGCCUCGGGCCAAGCGGCCGUUGAAUAAUCUAACAAAUGUUCCUCCAUCUGUUUUUUUAUUUUUUUUUAUUAUUUUUUUUAAAUUAUUAACUGAUUUAUAUAUUGUUCCUUUUAUUGAGCCGCGUAAGUAAUGUGUUUUUUUCAACCUUCGUGAGCAUGUUCCAGCCACAUGAGCAUCUCAGCACAACCUGAACCGAACCUGCUGCGUCUGGUUUGUGUAUCUGAUCCGUGUGACAGCAGCGGCGAGGCCUGGCCAGCAUUACUGUCCUCUGCCAACGGGGGUGCCAGCUAGUUACUGUUCCAAGCAACCUGUGUUUUUCGCCGCUGAGUAUUUACGAAAACCAAAUUAUUUUCAGACAUCACACCUCCACCCAGCUGGGAUUAGUACAUCAGCUCAGUGAUGAAGACGAAUGACACUCUGCCAGAACCCCCCCCUCCCCACCCCGUCAGUUUCGAGACCAACCUGGCCGAGCUGCUCUGACACUCAGGAAGCCGCCCGUGCAAGUGUUGCACCCUGAACAGGAAGUGUGCCGUUUUUCUCUGCAAAUAUUUCAUCACCGUGCCUGCAGGCUCCAACGUCCCCCCUGGUAUCCUUAAAAAAAAAAAAAAAAAAAAAGCACAUUAAAAUACACACAUCUGCUUUACCUGACACAAUCUUUCUGCCUUUCAGGGGCUGUGACCUGUUCUGUAAUCACUCUUCCACUCAUCACCUUUUUUAUGCUACCAUAAUAAACUUCAUUACUGAACUCUGGGAGGACACUAUUUCUUCACACUGCCAUGUACGAAUACAUGUUGUAUAACGCUGUGAUUAUAAAGAAGAAUCAGAUCUGUUUAAGUAAGUCAAAGGUGACCGCAAUUCUUUAAUUCCUUCGUACAUGUCAUCACGCUUGUAUUGAGCAACAGCCUUUACACAUGGUUGAUAUCAUUUUUUUAUUUUUGUUGUUCCACAUGACACUUGAUUGGCGUCACUUGUGUGUGUGUAAUUUCUCACCUCCACUUCUUCUUUAGCUUUUUCACUUCAUCAUUUUGGUUUACUGCCUGCUGGUUUGGUUCACUUCUUCCAGUCAGUACGUUUACAUGCAUGUGAAAAAAACGAAUUAUUGC